UACGUAGGUUACAAGCGUUGUCCGGAAUUAUUGGGCGUAAAGAGCUCGUAGGCGGUCUGUCGCGUCUGCUGUGAAAACUCAGGGCUUAACCCUGAGCUUGCAGUGGGUACGGGCAGACUAGAGUGCGGUAGGGGAGACUGGAAUUCCUGGUGUAGCGGUGAAAUGCGCAGAUAUCAGGAGGAACACCGGUGGCGAAGGCGGGUCUCUGGGCCGUAACUGACGCUGAGGCGCGAAAGCAUGGGGAGCGAACAGG
rnacentral:rRNA from 1 species